rnacentral:rRNA from 1 species
GUCCACGCCGUAAACGAUGUCAACUAGCUGUUGGAUAUAUGAAUAUAUUUAGUGGCGCAGCAAACGCGAUAAGUUGACCGCCUGGGGAGUACGGUCGCAAGAUUAAAACUCAAAGGAAUUGACGGGGGCCCGCACAAGCGGUGGAGCAUGUGGUUUAAUUCGAUGCAACGCGAAGAACCUUACCUACCCUUGACAUACAGUGAACUUUGCAGAGAUGCAUUGGUGCCUUCGGGGAACACUGAUACAGGUGCUGCAUGGCUGUCGU